UUGGCAUGCGAGGGUGAUCGACGACAUCCGCCAUCACACAAAAAUAUGAUUGGUUCCUGGUGAUAAAUACGGUCGGGGAACGGCGGAUGUGGCGAUCUGAUGGAGUCAGCGCUGAGAGUUGACUGAUCAGGAUUAGCCUGGUACAUUAUUAAAUAUUCAUUCAUGUUCAAAGGCCCAUCUCAAUGGCUCGAACGGUCUUCUAGAACAUGUUUCAACUAGUGUCCAUAUACUACAUGAUCAGGGGUCGGCCGGCGUUCUUACUCAGACAGACGGACGGACUUCGUAUUCUUUAUUUCGGGAGCCGGUGAAAGCGAUGAGUUGAAGCCUUGAAGGAUCGCAUGAAAAUGUACGUGAUUCCUCACCGCAAUCAUUGCGCAUCACCCUUUGUCUGAGAUGCUGGGCGGUAACCUCGUGUACGAGGAGUGCAUAGUAACCAUAGUCAGCCACCAGGAUGAUCAAUAAUACCACAUCCGCCUGAGCACGAACUACUAGGUACGAUCUACGUCUCAUAGUGAUUUCAUGUACGAAACAUAGCGCGGGUGCCGAGGAUCGCUACUAUUUAACUAGCAGAAUGGUUCGUGAAGCCUCAUACUCUGUACACCUGAGUGGCCAGCGCCACUACAGGCAUUCAUUCUUAUUCUUCUCAUCGUAGAUACUAACGGCGUGGCGUAUCCACUGCAUUUACGAUAUGCGAUACUGAAUGUCGUUUUGGGGGCUGAAGAAUCCUUACGAAGCAGGGCGGACGGGAGAUGAUACCACGUGUAGCAGAUCUGGAGUCUCCGCGCUUCUUAUCUGUUGAAAGCCAAACCGUUUCGCAUUCUGCCCCCAAAAUGGCACAGAAGUAACAGAACGGACUGUUGAAACAGUUCGCCGACGCAACAGCGAUAAUCCACGUAGUAACCAUGUUACAUGGCUGGCACGAGCCCAUGGAUAGGGGGCUAGGAUUUCUAUGUAAUAUUAAUUGCUUCCACAAUCCUUCUAGAACGCUUCCUAAACCCUAGUCCUGGUCUUAGUCUUCCGGCAAUCCGCCGUGUAAAAACCCGCACUUGUCGCGGCACACUAAAAUAAUACGCUGGCUGGAUAAAAUCGACUGGGGGUGGAAUUUCUUAUUUCGCCUUUAUGCCGUGGUAGCACUAGCAAUAUUAUCCAUAGGCGACGGGAAUCCUUAAUUUUUAUCCAACCAGUCAGACAUCAAGAAAUUGGCACAAUGCGACAAGGGGGUAUCCACCAGCGGAAGGUCCGAUUUCUGAAGAAGAUUAAUUUCUCAAAUCAUGAUUGGUGCGUCUAAGUGUCAUUAUAAUUUCCUCAUCGGGAUUAGGCUCAUUAGAAAUUGCGAACUCGGCUAAUCGUCGGCUAUCCUAUGAGUAAGCUCUCUCAGUGAAGCUUCAGUGGACGAAAUGGAGUCUAGAACUCUAGAUUUUAUGGUUUACGCAAUGCGACGAAAAACUGUCCGAUAUACGUAAUAUCGUUUGUACCUCAUUAAUAGUGCAAAAAUGAGAAGAUACUUUGCACCCUUUUUUAACGUCCUUUACGCGAUCGAAAUGUAGGUGGCAGCGCGGAGUAGUCCAUACCCGAAAUGUAUACAGAGUACUCCGUAUACUCCGUAGGUAAGUUACCUACUACAUAGUAUAUAUACUACGUCGUACGUGCCUCGGGAUUUCUCCACGCCAUCCCGUAGGUACUUACCCAAUCGAGAAGUACUACCCACGGAUUCCGUGGCGCUCAGCCACCAAGCCCCCUGAAGCAAGCCCGCAGCAGCAGAAGCAGCCACACAGCAUUUUUCAUGCACGGUAAUCGGAUGUGUACAUGCCAGCGGCAGUAUGAUGACGCACUUGGAGCGGUGUAUCAUUCUUGAUAUACAUACAUUCAGAUCAAUUCAAGAUGAAGCAAGGAGAUUGUCCAUCUACAUGUAGUAUGUAUAAUAUGUUGAUUUGUGAUUCUGUAACUUGAGUCAGUCGCAAAAACAGAGAAAGGGAUAAGCAUGUUACCAACACCGUGGUAGCCACCACAGUGACCGACCACACUAGAGCCUAGUAGCGGCAACGUGAAAGGGGCGUUUGCUUGUUAACGCAACAACACCAAAGCGAAAUUUCGAAAUAGAGUCGCGUACCUCGGCCUCUACUUUUAUUCUGGCCAAAAUCCAAGCAUCGACCAUGACUCUAGUUCGUGCCUAGACACCGAUAACUUUAGCAUCUGGUGGCAACCGGGGAAGCACAUGUCCUCAAAAAUUGUGUUAUGUAUUGUGAUCGAUCAACAGAGAGCUUUCAUUCCCAAAUUCCCGGUCCCCCGCAAGGAGACCUACAAUCGAUCGAUUUGCAUCCAUCAACCUGCAUCGGAAACACCCCUGAGUUCUACCACACCACAGAGAGAUGGGAAUCCGGAAA
rnacentral:lncRNA from 1 species